rnacentral:rRNA from 1 species
ACGUAGGGGGCAAGCGUUGCUCGGAAUUACUGGGCGUAAAGGGUGUGUAGGUGGCUAAUUAAGUUAGGGAUGAAAUCCGGAGGCUCAACUUCUGAAAUGUCCUUGAUACUGGUCAGCUUGAGGCUAGUAAAGGAGAGUGGAAUUCCCGGUGGAGCGGUGAAAUGCGUAGAUAUUGGGAGGAACACCAGAGGCGAAGGCGGUUUACUAGACUAGAACUGACACUGAGACACGAGAGCUAGGGGAGCAAACGG